rnacentral:rRNA from 1 species
UGGGGAAUUUUGGACAAUGGGCGAAAGCCUGAUCCAGCCAUGCCGCGUGAGUGAAGAAGGCCUUCGGGUUGUAAAGCUCUUUUAGUCGGAAAGAAAGAGUCGCAAUGAAUAAUUGUGAUUUAUGACGGUACCGACAGAAAAAGCACCGGCUAACUACGUGCCAGCCGCCGCGGUAAUACGUAGGGUGCGAGCGUUAAUCGGAUUUACUGGGCGUAAAGGGUGCGCAGGCGUUCGUUCAAGUCAGUUGUGAAAGCCCCGGGCUUAACCUGGGAAUUGCGUUUGAAACUACAAGACUAGAGUGCAGUAGAGGGGAGUGGAAUUCCAUGUGUAGCAGUGAAAUGCGUAGAGAUGUGGAAGAACUCCGAUGGCGAAGGCAGCUCCCUGGGUUGACACUGACGCUCAUGCACGAAAGCGUGGGGAGCAAACA